rnacentral:rRNA from 1 species
CCUACGGGAGGCAGCAGUAAGGAAUAUUGCGCAAUGGACGAAAGUCUGACGCAGCAACGCCGCGUGCGGGAUGAAGGGCUUCGGCUCGUAAACCGCUUUUAUCAGGGAAGAGUAAGGACGGUACCUGAUGAAUAAGUCUCGGCUAACUACGUGCCAGCAGCCGCGGUAAAACGUAGGAGGCGAGCGUUAUCCGGAUUUACUGGGCGUAAAGCGCGUGCAGGCGGUGAUGCAAGUCGUGUGUGAAAGCUCCCAGGCUUAACCGGGAGAGGCCAUGCGAGACUGCAUUGCUGGAGGCAAGGAGAGGCAAGUGGAAUUCCGGGUGUAGUGGUGAAAUGCGUAGAGAUCCGGAGGAACUCCAGUGGCGAAGGCGGCUUGCUGGCCUUGACCUGACGCUCAGACGCGACAGCAUGGGGAGCGAACGGGAUUAGAACCCCGGUAGUCCAUGCCGUAAACGAUGCUCACUAGGCGUUAGCCCCAACCGGGGGUAGUGCCGAAGCCAACGCGAUAAGUGAGCCGCCUGGGGAGUACGGCCGCAAGGUUAAAACUCAAAGGAAUUGACGG